rnacentral:tRNA from 3 species
GGGGCUAUAGCUCAGCUGGGAGAGCGCGUGACUGGCAGUCACGAGGUCCGCGGUUCGAUCCCGCGUAGCUCCACCA